rnacentral:lncRNA from 1 species
CUCAAAAGCUUUAACUGUAUCAAGCCUUGUAUAGUUACCUAUUAAAAUAAAAUAAGUGAGUAAGAGGGGAGCCCAUGGUAGGGGAAGAUAAGCUGAUACUUGGUGUUCAUAGGUGCUGUGAACAAAUGUGAUCUACAAAUGGAAGCUUCUCCAUGGCUCCUCAGCCAUGUUAUGUGGCCUGAGGUUCUACAGACCCCUUCUGCAGUUCUUCAGCUGAUUUCAGCCCUCCUGUGCAGUCAUAAGAGAAGGUGUGCUGUUGGCAGGUGCUGUGAUAUGGCCAAGUAGCAACUCUUCACUGGCACCUUGGAAGAAUCAUCUCAUGCAGCUUGUGUACCUAGACUCCUUACUUGGGGCUUGGGUACAGAUUUGGGGUACCUGACGUGGGUGUGACCAGGAAGAUGCACUAUCCACAUUACACAUGAAGUAGCCUCACAAAUGCCUUUGAGGGCAAUGUUCCUUCAAGACUGCAAGCCUUGCUAUGCUAGCUGGGUACCCCAUGGGUGCUCAAAGUGCCAGAUAAUAUUUGUGGCUAGGGAGUGUGGCAUCCAUAAAGCGUCCUCAGGAUGAGUCAACAAUGCAGAGCAGAUGCAGCUACAGGCAGCUGGAGUGCAGGAACAUCUCUGGAAGACACCAUAAUCUGUAUUUAUGAUCUAGCUACUUAAAGCACUGCAUUUUGUUAAUGCAGUAGUCAACAUUAUACAUCACUGGAGUUUGCUAGCUUAUCAGGCGACUGUUUUUAAAAAUCUAAAGCAAAAAUAUAUAUGUUGGUAUUUAAUGUUACAUUGUGUUUCCUUGCUGCUAAUUGUCCUUGUGCUCUGCUCGCUAUUUUACAUAUAUUUACAUACUGUUAGAAAGCCCUAGUCUCAUUGUGAAUAAAGAACAAUACACAGGCUAUUUGGUGGCA